GAGGAGCCUGCUGCUGAUUAGGUAGUUGGUGGGGUAAAGGCCUACCAAGCCUGCAGAUCAGUAGCUGGUCUGAGAGGAUGAUCAGCCACACUGGGACUGAGACACGGCCCAGACUCCUACGGGAGGCAGCAGUGGGGAAUAUUGGACAAUGGGCGAACAUGAUCCAGCAAUGCCGCGUGGAUGAAGAAGGUCUUCGGAUUGUAAAGUCCUUUUGGCGGGGACGAUGAUGACGGUACCCGCAGAAUAAGCUCCGGCUAACUUCGUGCCAGCAGCCGCGUAAUACGAAGGGGGCUAGGUG
rnacentral:rRNA from 1 species